rnacentral:rRNA from 1 species
AGUGAACGCUGGCGGUAGGCCUAACACAUGCAAGUCGAACGGCAGCACAGUAAGAGCUUGCUCUUACGGGUGGCGAGUGGCGGACGGGUGAGGAAUACAUCGGAAUCUACUUUUUCGUGGGGGAUAACGUAGGGAAACUUACGCUAAUACCGCAUACGACCUACGGGUGAAAGCAGGGGAUCUUCGGACCUUGCGCGAUUGAAUGAGCCGAUGUCGGAUUAGCUAGUUGGCGGGGUAAAGGCCCACCAAGGCGACGAUCCGUAGCUGGUCUGAGAGGAUGAGCAGCCAGAAUGGAAGUGAGACAGGGAACAGACGCAUACGGGAGCCAGCAGUGGGGAUUAGUGGACAAUGGGCGCAAGGUUGAACCAGCCAUACGCCGUGGAUGAAAAAGGCCUUCGGGUGGCAAAGCCCUUUUGUUGGGAAAGAAAGGCAGCAGGUUAGUACCCCGCUGGUCUGAAGGUACCGAAAGAAUAAGCACCGGCUAACUUCGUG